CCUGAUAAAGCCAAACUCGUCGUGAGGCGGGGACGGAAAGCCACGGGUCUUAGAAUAAGAUAGCCGGGUUACCUGGA
rnacentral:ncRNA from 1 species